rnacentral:rRNA from 1 species
UACGGGGGGAGCAAGCGUUGUUCGGAUUUACUGGGCGUAAAGGGCGCGUAGGCGGUCAGCACAAGUCAGUUGUGAAAUCUCCGGGCUUAACUCGGAAAGGUCAACUGAUACUGUGCGACUAGAGUGCAGAAGGGGCAACUGGAAUUCUCGGUGUAGCGGUGAAAUGCGCAGAUAUCGAGAGGAACACCUGCGGCGAAGGCGGGUUGCUGGGCUGAUACUGACGCUGAGGCGCGAAAGCCAGGGGAGCGAACGGG